rnacentral:rRNA from 1 species
CCUACGGGUGGCAGCAGUGGGGAAUUUUGCACAAUGGGGGAAACCCUGAUGCAGCGACGCCGCGUGAGUGAAGAAGUAUUUCGGGUGGUAAAGCUCUAUCAGUAGGGCAGAAAAAAGACGGUACCUGACUAAGAAGCCCCGGCUAAUAACGUGCAAGAAGCCGCGGUAAUACGUAGGGGGCAAGCGUUAUCCGGAUUUACUGGGUGUAAAGGGAGCGUGGACGGCGCGGCAAGUCUGAAGUUAAAGGCAGGGGCGUAACUCCUGAACGGCUUUGGAAACUGCCAUGCUAGAGUGCUGGAGAGGUAAGUGGAAUUCCUGGUGUAGCGGUGAAAUGCGUAGAUAUUAGGAGGAACACCAGUGGCGAAGGCGGCUUACUGGACAGUAACUGACGUUGAGGCUCGAAAGCGUGGGGAGCAAACAGGAUUAGAUACCCCUGUAGUC